UACGAAGGGGGCUAGCGUUGCUCGGAAUCACUGGGCGUAAAGCGCACGUAGGCGGAUCUUUAAGUCAGGGGUGAAAUCCUGGAGCUCAACUCCAGAACUGCCUUUGAUACUGGGGAUCUCGAGUCCGGAAGAGGUGAGUGGAACUCCGAGUGUAGAGGUGAAAUUCGUAGAUAUUGGGAAGAACACCGGUGGCGAAGGCGGCGACCUGGUCCGAUACUGACGCUGAGGCGCGAAAGCGUGGGGAGCAAACAGGAUUGA
rnacentral:rRNA from 1 species